rnacentral:lncRNA from 1 species
UUUUUUUUAUAGUUAAUAUUUAUUGAAUUUUCAAAAAAUAACAACAAAAAUUUCCAAAAAAAAAUUUAAGGAUACAAAAAACAAAAUUAGUGCAUAAACAAAAAAGAAAAGAAAACCCAGCCGCAAAGAAAAAAAAAAAGAGAAACAGAAAAACAAAAAUAUAAAGUCCUUUACAAUCUCUAUUGACUUCCUUUCUAGACUUCCUCCUCCUCCCCUCUUUUGUUUCUUAAUUUUUAAUUUUUACAGCAAAUCCUUUCUGUUUUUUCAUAACAAUCUGUCAUUACGUUUCCUUAUUCUAUUUUCCCUCUUGUCAUAUAAAAACUUUAAAACUCAUAGCUUAUAUUCAAUAUUUACCAAAUUCUUGCAUCAUUACCUUUUUACGAAUCAUUUACCAAUCCUUACUUAAGUCAUGUAAUUUCAUUCAACAUCCUUCAAACAUUUGUAAGCAUUCCC